CCUACGGGUGGCAGCAGUGAGGAAUAUUGGUCAAUGGGCUUACGCCUGAACCAGCCAAGUCGCGUGAGGGAAGACUGCCCUAUGGGUUGUAAACCUCUUUUGUCAGGGAGCAAUUGGCGCUACGUGUAGCGUUAUCGAGAGUACCUGAAGAAAAAGCAUCGGCUACCUCCGUGCCAGCAGCCGCGGAAAUACGGAGGAUGCGAGCGUUAUCGGGAUUUUUUGGUUUAAAAGGGGGCGUGGGGGGAAUGCCAAGUCAGCGGUAAAAUCGCGGGGCUCAACCUCGCUCCGCAGUUGAAACUGGCGUCCUUGAGUAGGCGAGAAGUAUGCGGAAUGCGUGGUGUAGCGGUGAAAUGCAUAGAUAUCACGAAGAACUCCGAUUGCGAAGGCAGCAUACCGGAGCCCAACUGACGCUGAUGCACGAAAGCGUGGGGAUCGAACAGGAUUAGAUACCCGGGUAGUC
rnacentral:rRNA from 1 species